rnacentral:rRNA from 1 species
UAAAAACCCCGACUUCGGAAGGGGUGUAUUUAUUAGAUACAAAACCAAUGCCCUUCGGGGCUCUUUGGUGAUUCAUGAUAACUAUACGAAUCGCACGGCCUUGCGCCGGCGAUGGUUCAUUCAAAUUUCUUCCCUAUCAACUUUCGAUGUUUGGGUAUUGGCCAAACAUGGUUGCAACGGGUAACGGAGGGUUGGGGCUCGACCCCGGAGAAGGAGCCUGAGAAACGGCUACUACAUCCAAGGAAGGCAGCAGGCGCGCAAAUUACCCAAUCCCGACUCGGGGAGGUAGUGACAAUAAAUACUGAUACAGGGCCCUUUCGGGCCUUGUAAUUGGAAUGAGUACAAUUUAAAUCCCUUAACGAGGAACAAUUGGAGGGCAAGUCUGGUGCCAGCAGCCGCGGUAAUUCCAGCUCCAAUAGCGUAUAUUAAAGUUGUUGUGGUUAAAAAGCUCGUAGUUGAACCUUGGGCCUGGCUGGCCGGUCCGCCUCACCGCGUGCACUGGUCCGGCCGGGCCUUUCCCUCUGUGGAACCCCAUACCCUUCACUGGGCGUGGCGGGGAAACAGGACAUUUACUUU